AAACAAUCCACCCAGGGCUCAGAUUUCCAAAAUUGCCACAGAGGUGGGAGUGAAUUUAUGAAGCCACGUAAGGGAAACCAAUCCAGCACUUUGAACUCGUUUGACUGGUGUAAUCUUUAACCAACAGAGACGGCUUCGACAACUUGGGGGCGUCGUCCGGGAUUUGGGAAAACAGGUGAAAAUUGGGAUCACUGACAAGGACCAACAGGCUAGAAAAGCACAACACGAGUGGCACCACCCUCAAAGGUGACCAGGAGCCCAGGAAGAGUGGGAAAGAGAAGAGGGAAAAAAGCCACACAUCGCAGUCAAGAACCCUUCUGGAAUUAGGACACUUUCUCUCAAUGAGAGACAUCUCUGCAACAU